GGGGGGAGGCCGGAUCCUGGGCUGUGUCCCGGCGCCCUGUGCUCUGGAACCUGAGAUGUUGGAUUCACGCUCCCGCCCCGCAGCCCCCU
rnacentral:pre_miRNA from 1 species